rnacentral:rRNA from 1 species
ACGAUUAGAGUUUGAUCCUGGCUCAGAACGAACGCUGGCGGCGUGGAUAAGACAUGCAAGUCGAACGCUGAUUUCAAGGUAGCAAUAUUUUGGAGUCGGAGUGGCGCAAGGGUGCGUAACACGUGGGCAAUUUGCCAUGAAGUUUGGGAUAACUCGCUGAAAGGCGAGCUAAUACCGGAUGUGAUGUUUGGGAGGCAUCUCUCGAACCUUAAAGUUGGGGACCGUAAGGCCUGACGCUUCAUGAUAAGCCCGCGGCCUAUCAGCUAGUUGGUGAGGUAACGGCUCACCAAGGCUAAGACGGGUAGCUGGUCUGAGAGGACGACCAGCCUCACUGGAACUGAGAUACGGUCCAGACACCUACGGGUGGCAGCAGUCGAGAAUUUUUCUCAAUGGGCGAAAGCCUGAAGGAGCGACGCCGCGUGGGGGAUGAAUGGCUUCGGCCCGUAAACCCCUGUCAUUUGCGAACAAACCUUACCGGUUAACAACCGGUGAGCUGAUUGUAGCGAAAGAGGAAGGGACGGCUAACUCUGUGCCAGCAGCCGCGGUAAUACAGAGGUCCCAAGCGUUGUUCGGAUUCACUGGGCGUAAAGGGUGCGUAGGUGGUAAGGCAAGUCAGGUGUGAAAUCUCCGGGCUCAACCCGGAAAUGGCAUUCGAAACUACCUUGCUAGAGGAUUUGAGGGGGGACUGGAAUACUUGGUGUAGCAGUGAAAUGCGUAGAUAUCAAGUGGAACACCAGUGGCGAAGGCGAGUCCCUGGAAAAUUCCUGACACUGAGGCACGAAAGCUAGGGGAGCAAACAGGAUUAGAUACCCUGGUAGUCCUAGCCCUAAACGGUGCUUGCUUGCUGUAAGAGGAAUCGACCCCUCUUGUGGCGGAGCUAACGCGUUAAGCAAGCCGCCUGGGAAGUACGGUCGCAAGAUU